UCGAACGGUAACAUAAAGAAGCUUGCUUCUUUGAUGACGAGUGGCGGACGGGUGAGUAAUGCUUGGGAAUCUAGCUUAUGGAGGGGGAUAACUACGGGAAACUGUAGCUAAUACCGCGUAGAAUCGAGAGAUGAAAGUGUGGGACCUUCGGGCCACAUGCCAUAGGAUGAGCCCAAGUGGGAUUAGGUAGUUGGUGAGGUAAAGGCUCACCAAGCCGACGAUCUCUAGCUGGUCUGAGAGGAUGACCAGCCACACUGGGACUGAGACACGGCCCAGACUCCUACGGGAGGCAGCAGUGGGGAAUAUUGCGCAAUGGGGGCAACCCUGACGCAGCCAUGCCGCGUGAAUG
rnacentral:rRNA from 1 species